rnacentral:lncRNA from 1 species
GAGUGUGAACCACCUAGGGUUUGGCUAAUGGAUUGUUAAGCCUAAACUUAACUCGGGCUCUCCCAAGCCCAUACCAAUUCGCGACUUUAGGUUCAAGUUUUAACAUGCAAUUAAUUUUCAAUUAGGAGUCGCCACUAAUCUAUUUUUGGUGGGUCGAUUAGAAACCCAAGUAAAGUAAUGGGAGAUUUACUUCACUUCUACGAACCAGAGAUUAUGGGUACGGGGACUUGGUUACACUAGAGUUCUCUAAUGCCCUUUCGGUACCAUUCUUUUAAUUUCAAAAAUGUUUUCUGCAGGCAGCUUGAAUUGAUUUUAAUUUCUUAACAUGUGAGGUGACCAUGCAGGUACGCAAACCACCAAUUUAACACUUAAUAAAGGAAAUGAAUAAAUGAUGCAGAACUUACCUCAAAGCAACGUAAGCAUCUGCAAUGUUAAAUUAAAAUCCACAUCAACAACCCUAGAUAUGGUUUCUAAUUAACACGCAAUUUUUGUUUUGUUUUCACUUAAUUAAUGAGAAUCAUGCUUUAUGCAAUGCAUGCCACUAAUUUAACAUGAAAUGAUAUGACAUAGCAAAAUGACUUAGCUAUAUGACCUAAGCAAUAUGACAUAACCAAACAUGUAAUCUAUUCUAAGCAUGAGAUGAUUUAUUCUAAAUAACAUUUUUUGUAUUUUUUUAUGAGAUUCGAAAUUAAAGAAAUGCAACAUUUAAAUAUGCAAUCUAAAUUAAUCUAAUGACUUAAUUCUAAUGACGGGCAAUUUCUAAUUAAAUGCACCUAACAAAAUCACUAAAUGACGUGCAUUGUAUGAAACUAAUUCUAUAUGACGUGCACAUGAUUUUUAUUUUCCUAAUAAGCAUGCAAUCUAUUUAGGAGAAAUUAUCUAAAUCUAUAAUAUGCAAUCUUAGCAUGCAAUGACGUGCAAAGAAUGCCCUAAUUCUACAUGACAUAUGCAU